UUUAAUUUCACAUUAAUUUCCAUAUUGUAUAAACGACUGGAAAAAACUUGAGCCCCUGCCCCUGUAUAAUCAUGUGCAUGUCUCUGUUCUAGCUCCAAGGUGAAUCUUCACUGCUCAUGUUCUCCUCAGAAGCACUCACCUCACUCCCCUCAGGUUACUGUACACAUGCACCAACUGCCUGCUUCAGGUUUGGAUGGAGCUUCAUGGUUGUCUUUUGGAGAAAUGACCAGUCAAGUUGUGUUUGAAAUUUGAUUUUUUUUUCAGGGGCAAAAGGAGCCUCUGCAUUCUUGUCAAAUAUGUAAAUAGCAUGUUUUUGCAGGUGCUAAAAACCAGACUCUGAGUGUGUGUGUGUGUGUGUGUGUGUGUGUGUGUGUGUGUGUGUGUGUGUGCGUGUGUGUGUGUGUCUGUGUGUGCGUUCAAGUCACAUGACAUAUUUAACCGGAUGUAGCUGCAAGACGGAGCCUCGUUGACUCUCCGUUUCAACUUAUCUCAAAAGUGAGGACCUCAACCUAUAUACCAGUUUUUAAAUUGUGUUGAUAGGCCAAAUAAAACCAGAGUUAUGAUAAAUUAUGUCCGCGAUACUUUUUUUCUGCUUAUUUUGAUCACGUUCGGCGCUCGAUCGCGCUGUAUGAGACAGGAAAACAUAGCAUGCAGACAUUAGCGACAGGUCUUACAGGCGGAAAAGGCUUGCCAAAAGAAAAAAAAAACACACCACAACAUCUCUCCUAUUGGUGGAAAACUUCACCACAACAACCAAUCCAAAAUUAUAUGGUGACUGAUUGACAAGGGGAGGGUGCUUACGUUCUUCCUGCAACAUGAGAAGGGAGGGAGGGACUCUCAGCAGGGAUGCAGUCUGGGACACGUAGUUGCAAACCUAGCGACUUUGUUGUUAGAUUCAAUGACUUUUCAGACCCCCUAACGACUUUUUUUUAGAAAGAAAGGGACUUUUAUCGACUUCUUCUGGAGUUUAGAGACUCUGACAUGAAGCAGGCUUUCCUUACUGAGGAGUUAGCAACGCUGCUAAGGGUGCAGAGCCACACAUGCGCUCAGAGCUCUGCAUGGGAGACUGAAGCUGACAGAGCUGCAGCAGUUAGCAGGUUUCACCCUCAGAGACCACCAGGGGUUCAUGUUGAGGCAUUUUAAUUUUUUUUUUUUUUUGUGCCAUAGACACUGUCAGCACAAUCUGCAGUUACACUAACAAAAAUGCUGCAAAAAACAAAGAAUUAUGGAAAAAUUACACAUGGACUGACAUAGAGGAGGAUCUACACAAGUUUUUUACAUCAUGUUUUACAUCAUGCAUCAUUUACAUCAUGUUUUUUUGUAGUGGCAUAAAUAAAAAGUGACAUUUGUGAGACUAUACAGUGUUUUGUAAAUAAUUUUACAAAGAACGCCUGGGCCAUUGCCUGCAUUUUGAUGUAAAUAGAGGUAAAUUACUAUGUUCUUUGUUAAAAAUUUGCAUAUGUUUUGAAGUUUACAAUUUUUAUUUGAAGUUUAAGUUUUAAAAACAGUUCAUCACACAUAUUUGUGGUUUAAUUUCACAUUAAUUUCCAUAUUGUAUAAAUGACUGGAAAAAACUUGAGCCCCUGCCCCUGUAUAAUCAUGUGCACGUCCCUGUUCUAGCUCCAAGGUGAAUCUUCACUGCUCAUGUUCUCCUCAGAAAUAGUCACCUCACUCCCCUCAGGUUACUGUACACAUGCACCAACUAUCUGCUUCAGGUUUGAAAUGGAGCUUCAUGGUUGUCUUUUGGAGAAAUGAACAGUCAAGUUGUGUUUGAAAUUUGAUUUUUUUCAGGGGCAAAAGGAAGCCUCUGCAUUCUUGUCAAAUAUGUAAACAGCAUGUUUUUGCAGGUGCUAAAAAACAGACUCUGAGUGUGUGUGUGUGUGUGUGUGUGUGUGUGUGUGUGUGUGUGUGUAUGUUGGCGUGUGUGUAUAUGUGUGUGUAUCCUGCAGUACUCUGUACUCCUGCAGUGGCCAAAAAGACUUUUAAGAAUGUGGAUUUUUGGGUCAUCUUUGGCGCCCCCUAGAACUGCAGUACUCUGUACUCCUGCAGUGGCCAAAAUGACUUUUAAGAAUGUGGAUUUUUGGGUCAUCUUUGGCGCCCCCUAGAACGUAAACCGUGGGGUGCAGCGUCAUGAUUUUUACAACUUUGAAUGGGCAUGGGGUGUAGAUUGCCCUGAGCAAAUUUGGUAUCGGUGGGACGAAAGCCUUAGGAGGAGAUAGCCACAUUCCAAUGUGUGCGAAUCGGCAAAAAAUGCAAAAUAGCCCUUUAACCGUACAUUAUACAGAUACGCGCUCUUUGACUUUUUCGUAGAUCUAAUUGAGAUACACAUGAUUGUCAAUUUUUGUGUCAAUAUGACAAAGCGUUCAGGCGUGACACUCAACAAUGUGUAUUUUUAUGUAAGGGGACAAGAAAAAAUUGACUUUUUUCUCCUACCAUGGGGGGCGCUCUUUUGGGGAGUAAAAAUUCCUUCACAAAUGUGUUGAUGGCUGGACAUUGCAUCAUCCUAGAAAACUUGGAGGCCAGUGAGGACAAAAAUAAAAAGUUAUAAAACAUUUAAGAAUGUGGAUUUUUGGGUUAUUUUUGGCGCCCCCUAGAACCUAAACCAUGGGGUGCAGCAUCAUGAUUUGAAUAACUUUUAAUGGCCAUGGGGUGUAGAUUGGCCUGAGCAAAUGUGGUGCCGGUGGAACGAAAGCCUUCGGAGGAGUUAGCCACAUUCCAAUGUGUGCGUAUCGGCAAAAAAUGCGGAAUAACCCUUUAACUGUACAUUUGACAGAUACGCGCGCAUGGACUUUUUUGUAGAUCUUAUUGAGUUACAUGUGUGUGUCAAUUUUUGUGUCAUUUUGACAAAGCGUAUAGGCGUGACACUCAACAAUGUGUAUUUUCACCUUAGGGGACAAGAAAAAAUGGACUUUUUUCUCCUGCCAUGGGGGGGCGCUCUUUUGGGGAGUAAAAAUUCCUUCACAAAUGUGUUGAUGGCUGGACAUUGCAUCAUCCUAGAAAACUUGGAGGCCAGUGAGGACAAAAAUAAAAAGUUAUAAGACUUUUAAAUAUGUAGAUUUUAGUGUUAUCUUUGGCGCCCCCUAGAACCUAAACCUUGGGGUGCAGCGUCAUGAUUUUGAUAACUUUUAAUGGCCACGGGGUGUAGAUUGGCCUGAGCAAAUGUGGUGCCGGUGGAACGAAAGCCUUCGGAGGAGUUAGCGAAAUUCCAAUGUGUGCGGAUCGGCAAAAAAUGCGAAAUAACCCUUUAACCGUAAUUUUGACAGAUACGCCCGCACUGACUUUUUUGUAGAUCUUAUUGAGAUACAUAUGUGUGUCAAUUUUUGUGUCAAUAUGACAAAGCGUACAGGCGUGACAGUCAAUAGUGUGAAUUUCCACCUUAGGGGGCGCUAUGGAGCCAUUUUGCAUUUUAUUGUUUGGGCGACUUCAGAAUAUCGAAUUUUUCACCAGGCCCGGUCGUCCUGCCAAAUUUCAUGAGUUUUCGCCAGUGGGAAGUGGGCCAUUUUCCAGUUCAAAGGGGAGGAAAAAGAAGAAAGAAAGAAAGAACUAGGGCCCCGGUGGGGCACUGGCGGGCCCGAGCCGUGUCGCGCCGCCCCCAGCGCGACCGCCUACCCCUCCCGAUCGCGUCACACUCAAGGUUCAAAGAUGGUGUGCGCACUUGUCUGUGGUCAUUUACCAUUAUAAUGAAUGGGAGGCGCAGUUUCUACCAAAAUGCUCGCUGCAGACAAACUCCAUGUCCUUUUUGAAAAAAGUCUGGACCAUGAGUGAGGGCACAAACACAGCUAAGAUAUAUCCAAAUGGCAAGUUGCUCCUCCUUUCGGUUUUGCUGAGAGAGCGAUGCGUUUGAGCCAUUGAGCGAUGGGCAGGAAAAACUUGACUUUUUCUCCGGCCAUGGGGGGGCGCUCUUUUGGGGAGUAAAAAUUCCUUCACAAAUGUGUUGAUGGCUGGACAUUGCAUCAUCCUAGAAAACUUGGAGGCCAGUGAGGACAAAAAUAAAAAGUUAUAAGACUUUUAAAUAUGUGGAUGUUAGGGUUAUCUUUGGCGCCCCCUAGAACCUAAACCGUGGGGUGCAGCGUCAUGAUUUGAAUAACUUUUAAUGGCCAUGGGGUGUAGAUUGGCCUGAGCAAAUGUGGUGCCGGUGGAACGAAAGCCUUAGGAGGAGUUAGCCACAUUCCAAUGUGUGCGGAUCGGCAAAAAAUGCGGAAUAACCCUUUAACCGUACAUUUGACAGAUACGCGCGCAUUGACUUUUUCGUAGAUCUUAUUGAGUUACAUGUGUGUGUCAAUUUUUGUGUCAUUUUGACAAAGCGUAUAGGCGUGACACUCAACAAUGUGUAUUUUCACCUUAGGGGACAAGAAAAAAUGGACUUUUUUCUCCUGCCAUGGGGGGGCGCUCUUUUGGGGAGUAAAAAUUCCUUCACAAAUGUGUCGAUGGCUGGACAUUGCAUCAUCCUAGAAAACUUGGAGGCCAGUGAGGACAAAAAUAAAAAGUUAUAAGACUUUUAAAUAUGUGGAUUUUAGUGUUAUCUUUGGCGCCCCCUAGAACCUAAACCUUGGGGAACAGCGUCAUGAUUUUGAUAACUUUUAAUGGCCACGGGGUGUAGAUUGGCCUGAGCAAAUGUGGUGCCGGUGGAACGCAAGCCUUCGGAGGAGUUAGCGAAAUUCCAAUGUGUGCGGAUCGGCAAAAAAUGCGAAAUAACCCUUUAACCGUACAUUUGACAGAUACGGCCGCACUGACUUUUUUGUAGAUCUUAUUGAGAUACAUAUGUGUGUCAAUUUUUGUGUCAUUUUGCCAAAGCGUACAGGUGUUACACUCAACAAUGUGUAUUUUCACCUUAGGGGACAAGAAAAAAUGGACUUUUUUCUCCUGCCAUGGGGGGGCGCUCUUUUGGGGAGUAAAAAUUCCUUCACAAAUGUGUUGAUGGCUGGACAUUGCAUCAUCCUAGAAAACUUGGAGGCCAGUGAGGGCAAAAAUAAAAAGUUAUAAGACUUUUAAAUAUGUGGAUCUUAGGGUUAUCUUUGGCGCCCCCUAGAACCUAAACCGUGGGGUGCAGCGUCAUGAUUUGAAUAACUUUUAAUGGCCAUGGGGUGUAGAUUGGCCUGAGCAAAUGUGGUGCCGGUGGAACGAAAGCCUUCGGAGGAGUUAGCGAAAUUCCAAUGUGUGCGGAUCGGCAAAAAAUGCGAAAUAACCCUUUAACCGUACAUUUGACAGAUACGCCCGCACUGACUUUUUUGUAGAUCUUAUUGAGAUACAUGUGUGUGUCAAUUUUUGUGUCAUUUUGACAAAGCGUACCGGCGUGACAGUGAAUAGUGUGAAUUUUCACCUUAGGGGGCGCUAUGGAGCCAUUUUGCAUUUUCUUGUUUGGGCGACUUCGGAAUAUCAAAUUUUUCACCAGGCCCGGUCGUCCUGCCAAAUUUCAUGAGUUUUCGCCUUUGGGAAGUGGGCCAUUUUCCAGUUCAAAGGGGAGGAAAAAUAAUAAUAAUAAUAACAAAAGAAGGAAACUACAGGAACAAGAGGGCUCUCGCAGCUGCUUAGCAGCUACGCUCGGGCCCUAACUAGGGCCCCGUUGGGGCACUGGCGGGCCCGAGCCGCGUUGCGCCGCCCCCAGUGCGACCGCCUCCCCCUCCCGAUCGCGUCACACUCAAGGUCCAAAGAUGGUGUGCGCACUUGUCUGUGGUCAUUUCCCAUUAUAAUGAAUGGGAGGCGCAGUUUAUACCAAAACACUCGCUGCAGACAAACUACAUGUCCUAUUUGAAAAAAGUCUGGACCAUGAGUGAGGGCACAAACACAGCUAGGAUAUAUCCAAACGGCAAGUUGCUCCUCGUUACGGUGUUGCCGGGAAAGCGAUGCGAUUGAGCCAUUGAGUGAUGGGCAGGAAAAACUUGACUGUUUCUCCUGCCAUGGGGGAUGGGGGAUGGGGGAUGGGGGGGGGAUGUGGAUUCUUUUAAGAAUGUGGAUAUUUGGGUCAUCUUUGGCGCCCCCUAGAACGUAAACCGUGGGGUGCAGCGUCAUGAUUUUUAAAACUUUGAAUGGCCAUGGGGUAUAGAUUGGCCUGAGCAAAUUUGGUGUCAGUGGGACGAAAGCCUUAGGAGGAGUUAGCCACAUUCCAAUGUGUGCUAAUCGGCAAAAAAUGCAAAAUAGCCCUUUAACCGUACAUUUUACAGAUACGCGCGCAUUGACUUUUUCGUAGAUCUUAUUGAGAUACAUGUGUGUGUCAAAUUUUGUGUCAAUAUGACAAAGCAUACAGGUAUGACAGUCAACAAUGUGUAUUUUCACCUCAUGGGACAAGAAAAAAUUGACUUUUUUCUCCUGCCAUGGGGGGGCGCUCUUUUGGGGAGUAAAAAUUCCUUCACAAAUGUGUUGAUGGCUGGACAUUGCAUCAUCCUAGAAAACUUGGAGGCCAGAGAGGACAAAAAUAAAAAGUUAUAAGACUUUUAAAUAUGUGGAUUUUAGGGUUAUCUUUGGCGCCCCCUAGAACCUAAACCAUGGGGUGCAGCAUCAUGAUUUGAAUAACUUUUAAUGGCCAUGGGGUGUAGAUUGGCCUGAGCAAAUGUGGUACCGGUGGAACGAAAGCCUUCGGAGGAGUUAGCGAAAUUCCAAUGUGUGCGUAUCGGGAAAAAAUGCGGAAUAACCCUUUAACUGUACAUUUGACAGAUACGCGCGCAUGGACUUUUUUGUAGAUCUUAUUGAGUUACAUGUGUGUGUCACUUUUUGUGUCAUUUUGACAAAGCGUAUAGGCGUGACACUCAACAAUGUGUAUUUUCACCUUAGGGGACAAGAAAAAAUGGACUUUUUUCUCCUGCCAUGGGGGGGCGCUCUUUUGGGGAGUAAAAAUUCCUUCACAAAUGUGUUGAUGGCUGGACAUUGCAUCAUCCUAGAAAACUUGGAGGCCAGUGAGGACAAAAAUAAAAAGUUAUAAGACUUUUAAAUAUGUGGAUUUUAGUGUUAUCUUUGGCGCCCCCUAGAACCUAAACCUUGGGGUGCAGCGUCAUGAUUUUGAUAACUUUUAAUGGCCACGGGGUGUAGAUUGGCCUGAGCAAAUGUGGUGCCGGUGGAACGAAAGCCUUCGGAGGAGUUAGCGAAAUUCCAAUGUGUGCGGAUCGGCAAAAAAUGCGAAAUAACCCUUUAACCGUAAUUUUGACAGAUACGGCCGCACUGACUUUUUUGUAGAUCUUAUUGAGAUACAUAUGUGUGUCAAUUUUUGUGUCAAUAUGACAAAGCGUACAGGCGUGACAGUCAAUAGUGUGAAUUUCCACCUUAGGGGGCGCUAUGGAGCCAUUUUGCAUUUUAUUGUUUGGGCGACUUCAGAAUAUCGAAUUUUUCACAAGGCCCGGUCGUCCUGCCAAAUUUCAUGAGUUUUCGCCAGUGGGAAGUGGGCCAUUUUCCAGUUCAAAGGGGAGGAAAAAGAAGAAAGAAAGAAAGAACUAGGGCCCCGGUGGGGCACUGUCGGGCCCGAGCCGCGUCGCGCCGCCCCCAGUGCGACCGCCUCCCCGUCCCGAUCGAGUCACACUCAAGAACCAAAGAUGGUGUGCGCACUUGUCUGUGGUCAUUUCCCAUUAUAAUGAAUGGGAGGCGCAGUUUCUACCAAAACACUCGCUGCAGACAAACUUCAUGUCCUAUUUGAAAAAAGUCUGGACCAUGAGUGAGGGCACAAACACAGCUAUGAUAUAUCGAAAUGCCAGGUUGCUCCUCCUUACGGUGUUGCCUGGAGAGCGAUGCGAUUGAGCCAUUGAGCGAUGGGCAGGAAAAACUUGACUUUUUCUCCUGCCAUAGGGGGGGGGAUGUGGAUUCUUUUAAGAAUGUGGAUUUUUGGGUCAUCUUUGGCGCCCCCUAGAACGUAAACCGUGGGGUGCAGCGUCAUGAUUUUUACAACUUUGAAUGGCCAUGGGGUGUAGAUUGGCCUGAGCAAAUUUGGUGUCAGUGGGACGAAAGCCUUAGGAGGAGUUAGCGAAAUUCCAAUGUGUGCAAAUCGGCAAAAAAUGCAAAAUAGCCCUUUUACCGUACAUUAUACAGAUACGCGCGAAUUGACUUUUUUGUAGAUCUAAUUGAGAUACACAUGAUUGUCAAUUUUUGUGUCAUUUUGCCAAAGCGUACAGGCGUGACAGUCAACAAUGUGUAUUUUCACCUUAGGGGACAAGAAAAAAUUGCCUUUUUUCUCCUGCCAUGGGGGGGCGCUCUUUUAGGGAGUAAAAAUUCCUUCACAAAUGUGUUAAUGGCUGGACAUUGCAUCAUCCUAGAAAACUUGGAGGCCAGUGAGGACAAAAAUAAAAAGUUAUAAGACUUUUAAAAAUGUGGAUUUUUGGGUUAUCUUUGGCGCCCCCUAGAACGUAAACCGUGGGGUGCAGCGUCAUGAUUUGAAUAACUUUUAAUGGCCAUGGGGUGUAGAUUGGCCUGAGCAAAUGUGGUGCCGGUGGAACGAAAGCCUUCGGAGGAGUUAGCGAAAUUCCAAUGUGUGCGAAUCGGCAAAAAAUGCGGAAUAACCCUUUAACCGUACAUUUGACAGAUAUGCGCGCAUUGACUUUUUUGUAGAUCUUAUUGAGAUACAUGUGUGUGUCAAUUUUUGUGUCAUUUUGACAAAGCGUACAGGUGUUACACUCAACAAUGUGUAUUUUCACCUUAGUGAACUUUUUUUUAGAAAGAAAGGGACUUUUAUCGACUUCUUCUGGAGUUUAGAGACUCUGACAUGAAGCAGGCUUUCCUUACUGAGGCGUUAGCAACGCUGCUAAGGGUGCAGAGCCACACAUGCGCUCAGAGCUCUGCAUGGGAGACUAAAGCUGACAGAGCUGCAGCAGUUAGCAGGUUUCACCCUCAGAGACCACCAGGGGUUCAUGUUGAGGCAUUUUAAUUUUUUUUUUUUUUGUGCCAUAGACACUGUCAGCACAAUCUGCAGUUACACUAACAAAAAUGCUGCACUAAACAAAGAAUUAUGGAAAAAUUACACAUGGACUGACAUAGAGGAGGAUCUACACAAGUUUUUUACAUCAUGUUUUACAUCAUGCAUCAUUUACAUCAUGUUUUUUUGUAGUGGCAUAAAUAAAAAGUGACAUUUGUGAGACUAUACAGUGUUUUGUAAAUAAUUUUACAAAGAACACCUGGGCCAUUGCCUGCAUUUUGAUGUAAAUAGAGGUAAAUUACUAUGUUCUUUGUUAAAAAUUUGCAUAUGUUUUGAAGUUUACAAUUUUUAUUUGAAGUUUAAGUUUUAAAAACAGUUCAUCACACAUAUUUGUGGUUUUCACAGUAAAAACGUUACUUUUUUCCACUCGGAUUUUAUGUUUUGUGUGUGAAUUUGGGUCCAAUGUGUAAAUAUAGUAUGUCAAAAUGAUAAAAUAACUGUAAAUUGACACAGGUGAGGUUGUGCUGAAAAAAAUGAUACCAGGCAAGGCAAGGUAAAAAUUUUGUAAGAGGAAAUAUAAAGGUAAAAUCUAAAGUAGUCAAAAACGGCCAAUAGUGACUCACAGACUCCACAGACAAGUCCCUUUGGCGCCACUCAGUGGGCAAAACUACUUUGUCUACUGUAAUGUAUAUUUGGGUCAUCUUUGGCGCCCCCUAAAACGUAAACCGUGGGGUGCAGCGUCAUGAUUUUUACAACUUUGAAUGGCCAUGGAGUGUAGAUUGGUCUGAGCAAAUUUGGUGUCAGUGGGACGAAAUCCUUAGGAGGAGUUAGCGAAAUUCCAAUGUGUGCGAAUCGGCAAAAAAUUCAAAAUAGCCCUUUUACCGUACAUUAUACAGAUACACGCUCUUUGACUUUUUCGUAGAUCUAAUUGAGAUACACAUGACUGUCAAUUUUUGUGUCAAUAUGACAAAGCGUACAGGCGUGACACUCAACAAUGUGUAUUUUCACCUUAGGCGACAAGAAAAAAUUGACUUUAUUCUCCUGCCAUGGGGGGGCGCUCUUUUGGGGAGUAAAAAUUUCUUCACAAAUGUGUUGAUGGCUGGACAUUGCAUCAUCCUAAAAAACUUGGAGGCCAGUGAGGACAAAAAUAAAAAGUUAUAAGACUUUUAAAUAUGUGGAUUUUAGGGUCAUCUUUGGCGCCCCCUAGAACGUAAACCGUGGGGUGCAGCGUCAUGAUUUUUACAACUUUGAAUGGCCAUGGGGUGUAGAUUGGCCUGAGCAAAUUUGGUGUCAGUGGGACGAAAGCCUUCGGAGGAGUUAGCGAAAUUCCAAUGUGUGCGAAUCGGCAAAAAAUGCAAAAUAGCCCUUUAACCGUACAUUUGACAGAUACAUGCCCUUUGACUUUUUCGUAGAUCUUAUUAAGAUACACGUGAUUGUCAAAUUUUGUGUCAAUAUGACAAAGCAUACAGGCGUGACACUCGACAAUGUGUAUUUUCACCUUAGGAGACAAGAAAAAAUGGACCUUUUUCUCCUGCCAUUGGGGGGCGCUCUUUUGGGGAGUAAAAAUUCCUUCACAAAUGUGUUGAUGGCUGGACAUUGCAUCAUCCUAGAAAACUUGGAGGCCAGUGAGGACAAAAGACAAAAGUUAUAAGACUUUUAAGAAUGUGGAUUUUUGGGUUAUCUUUGGCGCCCCCUAGAACGUAAACCGUGGGGUGCAGCGUCAUGAUUUGUACAACUUUUAAUGGCCAUGGGGGGUAGAUUGGCCUGCGCAAAUGUGGUGCCGGUCGAACGAAAGCCUUCGGAGGAGUUAGCGAAAUUCCAAUGUGUGCGAAUCGGCAAAAAAUGCAAAAUAGCCCUUUAACCGUACAUUUGACAGAUACGCCCACACUGACUUUUUUGUAGAUCUUAUUGAGAUACAUGUGUGUGUCAAUUUUUGUGUCAAUAUGACAAAGCAUACAGGCGUCAUGUGAAUUUUCACCUUAGGGGGCGCUAUGGAGCCAUUUUGCAUUUUAUUGUUUGGGCGACUUCAGAAUAUCGAAUUUUUCACCAGGCCCGGUCGUCCUGCCAAAUUUCCUGAGUUUUCGCCAGUGGGAAAUGGGCCAUUUUCCAGUUUAAAGCGGAGGAAAAAUAAUAACGACGGAAGGAAACAUGCAGGAACAAGAGGGCUCUCGCAGCUGCUUAGCAGCUACGCUCGGGCCCUAACUAGGACCCCGUUGGGGCACUGGCGGGCCCGAGCCGUGUCGCGUCCCCCCCCCCCCCAACGUGCUGCCUUCCCGUCCCAUUUGUGUCCUCUGGCCAUCGCCCUCUCUGGUAACGCCCAUCACUGCAAAGACCCUUUUCCUUCAUCGGCGUUUGCUGUUCUUCCUGCCAGUGCGUGUUGCUUUCACUUACACUUGCCACAGCCAGCCUCGUGAGUGCCUAGCCUAUUGGAUAUCACUGUCACCUACACAGGACAGUCAUUACCUUUCUAUUAAUACUUUGUGUUUUAAUUUCACAUUAAUUUCCAUAUUGUAUAAACGACUGGAAAAAACUUGAGCCCCUGCCCCUGUAUAAUCAUGUGCAUGUCUCUGUUCUAGCUCCAAGGUGAAUCUUCACUGCUCAUGUUCUCCUCAGAAGCACUCACCUCACUCCCCUCAGGUUACUGUACACAUGCACCAACUGCCUGCUUCAGGUUUGGAUGGAGCUUCAUGGUUGUCUUUUGGAGAAAUGACCAGUCAAGUUGUGUUUGAAAUUUGAUUUUUUUCAGGGGCAAAAGGAGCCUCUGCAUUCUUGUCAAAUAUGUAAAUAGCAUGUGUUUUUGCAGGUGCUAAAAAACAGACUCUGAGUGUGUGUGUGUGUGUGUGUCUGUGUGUGUGUGUGUGUGUGCCUGUGUGUGUGUCUGUGUGUGCGUUCAAGUCACAUGACAUAUUUAACCGGAUGUAGCUGCAAGACGGAGCCUCGUUGACUCUCCGUUUCAACUUAUCUCAAAAGUGAGGACCUCAACCUAUAUACCAGUUUUUAAAUUGUG